rnacentral:rRNA from 1 species
UACGGAGGAUGCAAGCGUUAUCCGGAAUGAUUGGGCGUAAAGCGUCCGCAGGUGGCGAUGUAAGUCUGCUGUUAAAGAGUGAGGCUCAACCUCAUAAGAGCAGUGGAAACUACAUAGCUAGAGUGCGGUAGGGGCAGAGGGAAUUCCUGGUGUAGCGGUGAAAUGCGUAGAGAUCAGGAAGAACACCAGUGGCGAAGGCGCUCUGCUAGGCCGUAACUGACACUGAGGGACGAAAGCUAGGGGAGCGAAUGGG